AUCGCUUCUCGGCCUUUUGGCUAAGAUCAAGUGUAGUAUCUGUUCUUAUCAGUUUAAUAUCUGAUACGUCCCCUACCCGGGGACCAUAUAUUAAAUAGAUUUUUGGAACAGGGAGAUGGAAUAAGGGCUUGCUCCGUCCACUCCACGCAUCGACCUGGUGUUGCAGUAUCUCCAGGAACGGUGCACUCCCU
rnacentral:snRNA from 1 species